AUUGAACGCUGGCGGCAUGCCUUACACAUGCAAGUCGAACGGCAGCGCGGGUGCUUGCCCCUGGUGGCGAGUGGCGAACGGGUGAGUAAUACAUCGGAACAUGUCCUGUAGUGGGGGAUAGCCCGGCGAAAGCCGGAUUAAUACCGCAUACGAUCUACGGAUGAAAGCGGGGGACCUUCGGGCCUCGCGCUAUAGGGUUGGCCGAUAGCUGAUUAGCUAGUUGGUGGGGUAAAGGCCUACCAAGGCGACGAUCAGUAGCUGGUCUGAGAGGACGACCAGCCACACUGGGACUGAGACACGGCCCAGACUCCUACGGGAGGCAGCAGUGGGGAAUUUUGGACAAUGGGCGAAAGCCUGAUCCAGCAAUGCCGCGUGUGUGAAGAAGGCCUUCGGGUUGUAAAGCACUUUUGUCCGGAAAGAAAUCCUUGGCUCUAAUACAGUCGGGGGAUGACGGUACCGGAAGAAUAAGCACCGGCUAACUACGUG
rnacentral:rRNA from 1 species